AACGAACGCUGGCGGCGUGGAUAAGACAUGCAAGUCGAACGGGAUUUUAUUUGUAGCAAUACACGUAAAGUCUAGUGGCGUAAGGGUGCGUAACACGUGGGCAAUCUGCCGAGAAGUGGGGGAUAGCUCGCCGAAAGGCGAAUUAACACCGCAUGUGGUUAGUGAAGACAUCUUCGCGAUACCAAAGCCGGGGCAACCUGGCGCUUCCUGAUGAGCCCGCGGCCUAUCAGCUAGUUGGUGAGGUAACGGCUCACCAAGGCUAUGACGGGUAGCUGGUCUGAGAGGACGACCAGCCACACUGGAACUGAGACACGGUCCAGACACCUACGGGUGGCAGCAGUCGAGAAUUUUUCUCAAUGGGGGAAACCCUGAAGGAGCGACGCCGCGUGGAGGAUGAAGGUCUUCGGAUUGUAAACUCCUGUCAUUUGGGAACAAUUGUUGGCGAUUAACUGUCGUCAGCUUGAUAGUACCAGAAGAGGAAGAGACGGCUAACUCUGUGCCAGCCGCCGCCGUAAAAC
rnacentral:rRNA from 1 species